rnacentral:rRNA from 1 species
UACGUAGGGUGCAAGCGUUGUCCGGAAUUAUUGGGCGUAAAGAGCGUGUAGGCGGCCCGAUUAGUCCGCUGUGAAAGUCCAGGGCUCAACCCUGGAAUGCCGGUGGAUACUGUCGGGCUAGAGUCCGGAAGGGGCGAGUGGAAUUCCUGGUGUAGCGGUGAAAUGCGUAGAUAUAUGGAGGAAUACCAGUGGCGAAAGCGGCCUCCUGGCUCGAUACUGACGCUGAGGUGCGAAAGCGUGGGAAUCAAACAGG